UGUUGAUGGGAAGUAUAAAUCCAGGGGACGUGGCAAUGGUUAUUUUGGUUAUGGUAAUGAGAACAUGGAUGGAUUGAAUGAGCUUAAUAGGGGACCUAGAGCCAAGGGAGCAAAAAACCAAAAGGGUUCAGCACCCAAUGCUUUACCAGUCAAAGAGCAGAAUGUGCUAACAAAUGGGACCGCUGAGGAUGAGAAUGAUAAGAUUAGUUUGAGUCCUGACAGAGAUGAAUACAAUAAAGCAGAUUUCCCAGAAGAGUACACUGAUGCUAAAUUCUUUGUCAUCAAAUCGUACAGUGAGGAUGAUGUCCAUAAAAGUAUCAAGUACAGUGUUUGGGCCAGCACCCCCAAUGGCAACAAGAAGCUUGAUGCUGCUUACCAGGAGGCUCAACAGAAGUCUCGCAGCUGCCCUGUAUUUCUUCUCUUUUCGGUGAGAAUCUGAUUUAACUAAUCUAAUCUUAUUUAUGUUAUUUUCUAUAUUUCCAUGGUAUUUACUUAUUGGUCUUGAAUUCUUUCUUAGGUUAACACAAGUGGACAGUUUGUUGGCCUUGCGGAGAUGGCUGGACCGGUUGAUUUUAACAAAAACGUGGAGUACUGGCAACAAGACAAAUGGACUGGCUGUUUUCCGGUGAAGUGGCACAUUGUCAAGGAUGUACCAAAUAGUUUGUUGAAGCACAUUACUCUCGAGAAUAAUGAGAACAAGCCUGUCACUAACAGUAGGGACACUCAAGAGGUAAUUAAAUUUUUGUAAUCUUAUCCCUUGCUAUUAUGUCAUUGUUCUUUAUUUAUUUUAAACAGCAAGCUUUGAUGGUGUCUUGCAGAUCAAGUUAGAGCAGGGACUUAAAUUGAUCAAAAUAUUCAAGGAUCACCCAAGUAAAACGUGCAUUCUGGAUGAUUUUGGGUUUUAUGAGACUCGCCAGAAAACCAUUCAGGAAAAGAAGGCUAAACAACAGCAGUUCCAGAAACAGGCAAGUUACUUCCCAUUAAAUUGGUUUAAUGUCUUGUAUUCUUUCCAAUUUAGAUAUGGUGAAAUAUUUUGCUGAAGAAGCCUAAUUUUGCUUGUAUGUGGUUGAUUUUGGAAACGCUGCAGGUAUGGGAAGGAAAGCCUGCUGAGGAGAAGAAAGAAUUGGCUAAUGGGGAACUAAAGACACAGAAGUCAUCGGAGGUUGCCUCUGAUUUGGUCGAAGAGCGUACUACAACAGUUCAGAGUAAUGGGGACCUAAGACUCUCUGAGAAUGGAUCAGUUGCAAAAACUGGAGAUGCCCACAAGGGAAGUAAACCAGUUGUAGUUUCAGAGAAGGUUAUAUUGGCAAAUGGGGUUGCAAAUGGUUGUUAGGCUUAGCUGCACAGGAAGGCGGUCUGAUUUUAUUGGAGCUCAUUGUGAGGAGUUCUGUCAGAAGUUUUGCUGGUUUCAGACAUCGUAUAGAAAACUUCUGGCCAGUUCUAUGUAUGACUCAGGCCGCCUUAUUGGAUCUGCCCUGCUGCUUUAAAGUCAAUAAUUCAUUGAGGGAUGGGAUUUCAUGUUGUGAGUUCAAAGAUGGUGUGGCAGGCUAGGUUUAUCAGAAUCUGAGUAGUAUUGCCCAUCUCUUUUAUGAUGGGCUCUUUUUCUUUUUCUUUUUCUUUUUCCUUUUUUGUUUCC
rnacentral:lncRNA from 1 species